GUCGGCUAUGGUGACAUGUGCCCCAUCACGUUGGGGGGUAAGAUGGUUGGGAUCCUCUGUGCCAUCGCUGGCGUGCUGACCAUUGCGCUUCCUGUUCCCGUGAUCGUCUCUAAC
rfam:Danio rerio chromosome 6, GRCz11 reference primary assembly.